rnacentral:rRNA from 1 species
UACGUAGGGUGCAAGCGUUAUUCGGAAUUACUGGGCGUAAAGCGUGCGCAGGCGGUUCUGUAAGUCUGUCGUGAAAUCCCCGGGCUUAACCUGGGAAUUGCGAUGGAGACUGCAAGGCUAGAAUCUGGCAGAGGGGGGUAGAAUUCCACGUGUAGCAGUGAAAUGCGUAGAGAUGUGGAGGAACACCGAUGGCGAAGGCAGCCCCCUGGGUCAAGAUUGACGCUCAUGCACGAAAGCGUGGGGAGCAAACAGG